GACGAACGCUGGCGGCGUGCUUAACACAUGCAAGUCGAGCGGGAAACUUCGGUUUCCAGCGGCGGACGGGUGAGUAACACGUGGGCAACCUGCCUCACAAUGAGGGAUAGCCUUCCGAAAGGAAGAUUAAUACCUCAUAACACAAGAGAAACGCAUGUUUCUUUUGCCAAAGAAUUUCGUUGUGAGAUGGGCCCGCGGCGCAUUAGCUAGUUGGUGAGGUAACGGCUCACCAAGGCUUCGAUGCGUAGCCGACCUGAGAGGGUGAUCGGCCACAUUGGAACUGAGACACGGUCCAGACACCUACGGGAGGCAGCAGUGGGGAAUAUUGCACAAUGGAGGAAACUCUGAUGCAGCAACGCCGCGUGAGUGAUGAAGGUCUUCGGAUUGUAAAGCUCUGUCUUCUGGGACGAUAAUGACGGUACCAGAGGAGGAAGCCACGGCUAACUACGUGCCAGCCGCCGCCGUAAAAC
rnacentral:rRNA from 1 species